rnacentral:rRNA from 1 species
UCAAGCUACUAAGGGCAUACGGUGGAUGCCUAGGCGCCAAGAGCCGAAGAAGGACGCGGUAAGCUGCGAAAAGCCACGGGGAACUGCAAGCAAGUAUUGAUCCGUGGAUAUCCGAAUGGGGAAACCCGGCCAUCGUCAUGGAUGGUCACCCGCAAGGGAGGGAACCUGGGGAACUGAAACAUCUAAGUACCCGGAGGAAGAGAAAUCAAACGAGAUGCCCACAGUAGCGGCGAGCGAAGAGGGCAGAGCCCAAACCGAGAAGCUCCGGCUUUUCGGGGUUGAGGACCGGCAGAAUCGAAGUCAGGCCUAGUUGAAUUACCUGGAAAGGUAAGCGAGAGAGGGUAAAAGCCCCGUAGACGAAAGGCAGAGCAGAGAGGCCGAGAUCCAGAGUACCACGAAGCACGAGGAAUUUUGUGGGAAGCAGGGGGGACCACCCUCCAAGGCUAAAAACUACUUGGCGACCGAUAGCGCAUAGUACCGUGAGGGAAAGGUGAAAAGAACCCCGGGAGGGGAGUGAAAUAGUACCUGAAACCGUAUGUCUACAAGCAGUCGAAGCGAAAGCGACGGCGUGCCUAUUGAAGAAUGAACCAACGAGUUAUCUGCACUAGCGAGGUUAAGUGGAAGACACGGAGCCGCAGCGAAAGCGAGUCUUAAGAGGGCGCUAGUUAGUGUAGGUAGACCCGAAACCGCAGUGAUCUACCCAUGUCCAGGUUGAAGCGCAGGUAAAAUUGCGUGGAGGACCGAACCGGUGAGCGUUGAAAAGCUUUCGGAUGAGAUGUGGGUAGGGGUGAAAUUCCAAUCGAACGCGGAGAUAGCUGGUUCUCCCCGAAAUAGCUUUAGGGCUAGCCUGAGGUAGUAAGUAUAGGCGGUAGAGCACUGAUCGGGCUAGGGGCCGUAAAGGUUACCGAACCCUGUCAAACUCCGAAUGGAUAUACUGUAGAGCCUUGGAGUCAGACUACGAGUGAUAAGAUCCGUGGUCAAAAGGGAAACAGCCCAGACCACCAGCUAAGGUCCCCAAUGUCGUACUAAGUGGAAAAGGAUGUGGGGUUUCAUAAACAACCAGGAUGUUGGCUCAGAAGCAGCCACCAUUUAAAGAGUGCGUAAUAGCUCACUGGUCGAGAGACCCUGCGCCGAAGAUUCCCGGGGCUAAAGUACGAAACCGAAGCUGUGGCUGUAUACGUAAAGUAUACGGGGUAGGGGAGCGUUCCCAUAGGGUAGAAGUCGAACUGGAAGGUUCGGUGGACUUGUGGGAAGUGAGAAUGUUGGUAUGAGUAGCGAAAAGAAAGGUGAGAAUCCUUUCCACCGAAAGCAUAAGGAUUCCUGAGCAACGAUCGUCGUCUCAGGGUAAGUCGGGACCUAAUCCGAGGCAGAGAGCGUAGGAGAUGGACAACUGGUUGAUAUUCCAGUACCGGUAGUAAUUGUUUGAGCAAUGGAGUGACACAGAAGGGCAGGCAAGCAUGCGAAUGGAAGAGCAUGUGUAAGCGUGUAGGGUGGUGCAUAGGCAAAUCCGUGCACUGAAAGCCUGAGGCGUGAUGCGGAGUGAGCAGAGAUGCGAGCGAAGUUGUUGACCCCACACUGUCGAGAAAAGCUUCUAGUGAGAGAGCUACCGCCCGUACCGUAAACCGACACAGGUAUGCGGGGAGAGAAUCCUAAGGUGCGCGGGAGAACCCUCGUUAAGGAACUCGGCAAAAUGUACCCGUAACUUCGGGAUAAGGGUAGCCACUGUUGUGAAGUCCCAUGCGGAUGGAGCAUAGAGUGGUCGCAGAGAAGAGGCCCAAGCGACUGUUUACCAUAAACACAGGUGCCUGCUAAAGCGAAAGCUGACGUAUAGGUGCUGACACCUGCCCAGUGCCGGAAGGUUAAGGAAGGAUGUUCGGAUUAGUCCAAAGCAUUCGACUGAAGCCCCGGUGAACGGCGGCCGUAACUAUAACGGUCCUAAGGUAGCGAAAUUCCUUGUCGGGUAAGUUCCGACCCGCACGAAAGGUGUAACGAUUUGGGCACUGUCUCAACGAGGGACCCGGUGAAAUUGAAAUACCUGUGAAGAUGCAGGUUACCCGCGACUGGACAGAAAGACCCCAUGGAGCUUUACUGUAACCUGACAUUGGGUUUUGAUACAUUACGUACAGGAUAGGUGGGAGGCAUGGAAAGCUGGACGCUAGUCUGGCUGGAGCCGACGUUGGGAUACCACCCUUGAUGUAUUGAAAUUCUAACCGCGAGAGUAACGAAAUCCGGGACAGUGUCAGGCGGGCAGUUUGACUGGGGCGGUCGCCUCCGAAAGAGUAACGGAGGCGCUCAAAGGU